rnacentral:piRNA from 1 species
CCUGCCUGCUAAGGAAUAACAAGUGGGAA